rnacentral:rRNA from 1 species
GACGAACGCUGGCGGCGUGCUUAACACAUGCAAGUCGAACGGAAAGGCUCCAGCUUGCUGGAGUACUCGAGUGGCGAACGGGUGAGUAACACGUGGGUAAUCUGCCCUGCACUCUGGGAUAAGCCUGGGAAACUGGGUCUAAUACUGGAUAUGACCUUUCUCCUUAUGGGGUUUGGUGGAAAGUUUUUCGGUGUAGGAUGAGCCCGCGGCCUAUCAGCUUGUUGGUGGGGUGAUGGCCUACCAAGGCGACGACGGGUAGCCGGCCUGAGAGGGUGAUCGGCCACAUUGGGACUGAGAUACGGCCCAGACUCCUACGGGAGGCAGCAGUGGGGAAUAUUGCACAAUGGGCGGAAGCCUGAUGCAGCGACGCUGCGUGAGGGAUGACGGCCUUCGGGUUGUAAACCUCUUUCAGCAGGGACGAAGCGUAAGUGACGGUACCUGCAGAAGAAGCACCGGCUAACUAUGUG